rnacentral:snoRNA from 1 species
UUGGCCCUGAAUCAAGGACAGCAGUUUGAUGGAGCUUUUGGUUUUAAGCAGGAGCCUAAAAAAGUGUGUUCCUGUGGUGCAUUGGACAUUUCAGAACUUUGAAAGGAUUAUGGUCGAUUCAUUAGAAAGAAACAUCG